UUUUGCUCAAUAUGCUCAAACAUUUUUUGCUCAUAUGACCCAAACGCAUAUGCCAUAAUUUGGUGAUGUCAGAAUCAGACAAUGAUGAUGAUGAGACUACAACCGAGCCUGUGACAGUAGUUCCCUGCAAAAUAUACAAGCUACCAGACCUACAAGCUUUCAUAACAACAAGGGCACUUCUAGAAACUUUCAUAACUCCAC
rnacentral:lncRNA from 1 species